GAGUUGACAACUGUUUUUCUGUUUUGC
rnacentral:piRNA from 1 species